UACGGGGGGAGCAAGCGUUGUUCGGAUUUACUGGGCGUAAAGGGCGCGUAGGCGGCCUCCGCAAGUCAGUUGUGAAAUCUCCGAGCUUAACUCGGAAAGGUCAACUGAUACUGCGGGGCUAGAGUGCGGAAGGGGCAACUGGAAUUCUUGGUGUAGCGGUGAAAUGCGCAGAUAUCAGGAGGAACACCGAUGGCGAAGGCAGGUCUCUGGGCAUUAACUGACGCUGAGGAGCGAAAGCAUGGGGAGCGAACAGG
rnacentral:rRNA from 1 species